rnacentral:tRNA from 1 species
AGUCCUGAGGUGAUUAGUCAUGUUGAAUUGCAAAUUCGAAGGAGCAGUUUUCCUGCCGGGACUU